AGAGUUUGAUCAUGGCUCAGAAUCAACGCUGGCGGCGUGCCUAACACAUGCAAGUCGAACGAGAAAGUCCCCGCAAGGGGAUGAGUAAAGUGGCGACCGGGUGAGUAACACGUGACUAACCUACCCUGAAGCGGGGAAUAACCUCGGGAAACCGGGGCUAAUACCGCAUACGAUCCUAGGGGGAAGAUCCUUAGGAGGAAACGAGCAAUCGGCUUUAGGAGGGGGUCGCGCCCGAUUACGGUAGUUGGCGGGGUAACGGCCCACCAAGCCUUUGAUCGGUAGCCGGCCUGAGAGGGCGCACGGCCACACUGGAACUGAAACACGGUCCAGACUCCUACGGGAGGCAGC
rnacentral:rRNA from 1 species